rnacentral:sRNA from 1 species
AUUUUUCCAAUAAACAAAGAAUCAGCAUCACUUAGACAAGUUUAAAACGCAGAACUAGAAUACUGUUGAUCAAGAAUACUAGAUGUUUCAGAUACACACGCCUCAAUAAUCCUAGAGGUUAACCUCGGCCGCCAAAAUAAAAAGCUUACCUCAAACAUCAAUCUAUCUUAAAUAAUGAUUUUACAAGGAUUUUUAAAAGGGGUUUAAAAACGUUAAUAAUGAUUUUACAAGAUUUUUUAAAAGGAUUAGUACCUGAGUAGUAGAUGCAGAAUGAGAAGCAAAAGGAUUUGAAGUCGUCUCAGCCUGUAAUAAACACAAUCACUGACUUAAUAAUGAUUUUACAAGGAUUUUUAAAAGGGGUUUAAAAACGUUAAUAAUAAUUUUACAAGGAUUUUUAAAAGGGGUUUAAAAACGUUAGUAAUGAUUUUACAAGGAUUUUUAAAACGAUUAGUACCUGAGCAGUAGGGACAGAAUGAGAAACAAAGGGAUUUGAAGUAGCCUCAGCCUGUAAUAUGCACAAUCACUGACUUAAUAAUGAUUUUACAAGGAUUUUUAAAAUUAUAACACCAGAAGGUUAUUGAAAAACUUGCUCAACUGUCACAAAAAUUUGCUCUACAGUCAAACAUAGCAAAAGCAAUCCUCCACUCUGUGAGAAUUUGUGCAUAAAAGUUGCAAGUUGUGUAUCGUUUAUAAUAUAAAGAGGAUGAGAUUGUAUGGUUGUAGACGUGGAGACUAGCUUGUAACUU